GACAGAGGCCUCAAGCGUUAGGCGGAAUCACUGGGCUUAAAGCGUGUGUAGGCGGAUCGUUAAGUACCUUGUAAAUCCCACGGCUCACCCGUGGAACUGCUGGGUAUACUGGCGGUCUUGGGCCAACUAGGGGCAGCUGGAACAAGCGGUGGAGCGGUGAAAUGCGUAGAUAUCGCUUGGAACGCCGAAGGUGAAAACAGGCUGCUGGGGUUGUGCCGACGCUGAGACACGAAAGCCAGGGGAGCAAACGGG
rnacentral:rRNA from 1 species